rnacentral:rRNA from 1 species
CUCCAGACUCCUACGGGAGGCAGCAGUGGGGAAUAUUGCACAAUGGGGGAAACCCUGAUGCAGCAACGCCGCGUGAGUGAAGAAGUAUUUCGGUAUGUAAAGCUCUAUCAGCAGGGAAGAGAAUGACGGUACCUGACUAAGAAGCCCCGGCUAACUACGUGCCAGCAGCCGCGGUAAUACGUAGGGGGCGAGCGUUAUCCGGAUUUACUGGGUGUAAAGGGAGCGCAGACGGCGAUGCAAGCCAGGAGUGAAAGCCCGGGGCCCAACCCCGGGACUGCUCUUGGAACUGCGUGGCUGGAGUGCAGGAGGGGCAGGCGGAAUUCCUGGUGUAGCGGUGAAAUGCGUAGAUAUCAGGAGGAACACCGGUGGCGAAGGCGGCCUGCUGGACUGCAACUGACGUUGAGGCCCGAAAGCGUGGGGAGCAAACAGGAUUAGAUACCCUAGUA